AAUGUCUGGAAAAUUGCCCAGUCGAGGCUUUUAACAGUUGGAAAGGACUGCUAAUACCGCAUACGCCCUACGGGGGAAAGCAGGGGACCUUCGGGCCUUGCCCUAUUGGAUAUGCCCAGGUGGGAUUAGCUAGUUGGUGAGGUAAUGGCUCACCAAGGCGACAAUCCCUAGCUGGUCUGAGAGGAUGAUCAGCCACACUGGAACUGAGACACGGUCCAGACUCCUACGGGAGGCAGCAGUGGGGAAUAUUGCACAAUGGGGGAAACCCUGAUGCAGCCAUGCCGCGUGUGUGAAGAAGGCCUUCGGGUUGAAAAGCACUUUCAGCGAGGAGAGAAAGGUUGAUGCCUAAUACAUAUCAACUGUGACGUUACUCGCAAAAGAAGCACCGGCUAACUCCGUGCCAGCAGCCGCGAAAAUACAGAGGGUGCAAGCGUUAAUCGGAAUUACUGGGCGUAAAGCGCACGCAGGCGGUUGGAUAAGUUAGAUGUGAAAGCCCCGGGCUCAACCUGAGAAUUGCAUUUAAAACUGUCCAGCUAGAGUCUUGUAGAGGGGGGUAAAAUUCCAGGUGUAGCGGUGAAAUGCGUAGAGAUCUGGAGGAAUACCGGUGGAGAAGGCGGCCCCCUGGACAAAGACUGACGCUCAUGUGCGAAAGCGUGGGGAGCAAA
rnacentral:rRNA from 1 species